CGCGUAGGCGGAUAUGCAAGUGAGAUGUGAAAUACCCGGGCUUAACCUGGGAACUGCAUCUUAAACUGCGUAUCUGGAGUACUGUAGAGGAUAGUGGAAUUUCCGGUGUAGCGGUGAAAUGCGUAGAGAUCGGAAGGAACACCAGUGGCGAAGGCGACUGUCUGGACAGAUACUGACGCUGAGGCGCGAGAGCGUGGGGAGCAAACAGGAUUAGAUACCCUGGUAGUCCACGCUGUAAACGAUGAGAACUAGAUGUUGGUGGGCCUAGCCCAUUAGUAUCGAAGCUAACGCGAUAAGUUCUCCGCCUGGGGAGUACGGCCGCAAGGUUAAA
rnacentral:rRNA from 1 species